UUUUCAUUCCACGUGCUCUCUCACCGGUCAAAAUGAAGAGAGAAAGCAUGUGAAAUGAAAAGA
rnacentral:pre_miRNA from 1 species